UCACCUCUGCAGGCUGGCAGGCCCCCAGGCUGGGCUGGGUGGGUACCUCUUCCAAAGGCUCAAUCUUAAGCACGACUAAGAGA
rnacentral:pre_miRNA from 1 species